rnacentral:lncRNA from 1 species
CCAAGAAUGAAUGCUUCCUCCUUUUAUAGGUUGCAUGCUCACCCUCCCUCCUCCUCCGUUUCUUCACGUGCGUGGGAGGAUAAGGUCGUCGAAGAUUGAUAUGAUCCGUCGUUGGGAAGAGGGUGAUGAUCCAGAAGAGGCCAACGCGGAGACUGUUGACGUGGAUUCCGGGGAGAUGCUUACAGCUGAAGGAGUUGCUUGGAUAAAGAUGGAUCUCGGAACAAGAUGAGAGCUAGGAGAUGAUCUUAUCCGGAAGAAGGAAUCUCAUGCGGGUGGUGUUGAUAGGAUCAUUUGUGAACUUGUCCAUGGAUAAGAACAGGAAGGCUGGGAUCUUAGCGGAGGAAGAUGCGCACGGUUGGUGUUGGAUUUCUUUAUUCCGAAGCAGGGUAUGAAGGUGCAAGCUGAGAAGAUCUCGGAUGCAUGGGAUGUUGCUGAAUGGAAACGGUUGGGAGAUUUGGGAUGCUAACGGGAUGAUAACUCUGUUUGAAACAGGGGAGGAUGCGGUUGGAUGCCGUGAAGCUCGGGAGGAACUCGGAUCAAGCUUGGGAGCGGAUGCAAGGCUGUUUUGCUAGGAGGAUGAUGAAUACGGAGACGUGGGAGUUUGGAUUCUGAACGGGAUCUAGGACGGCUGGGAGAUGAUAUUGUUUUGCUGGGAGAACAAUGCGGAAGGGAAUGCUUGGAUGAUGAUGAUCCGGAAGAUGUUGGGGUACUGUUCAUGGCUGAGAUGAAUAUCGGAUCAACAUGGAUGUGAGGCUGGAUACGAGUUGGAAUUUAGAGCUUACAUGGAUGUGAUUCCGAGGGAAGUUGGGUUGGUUCGGAAGAAGAGGGUGGUUGCUGGGACGUUGGGAGAUUCGUGGGAUAAGGAGGAUCUCAGACUGAGAGGAAGCAAUCGGUUGCGAACUGAAGUUGGUUGGGAGAUGGAAUAAAGAUGAACUCGAUGUAGAUGAAGGGGAGGAGGUUUUUGGAAUGUAG